rnacentral:rRNA from 1 species
ACGCUGGCUACAGGCUUAACACAUGCAAGUCGUGGGGAAACGGCAUUAUGUGCUUGCACAUUCUGGACGUCGACCGGCGCACGGGUGAGUAUCGCGUAUCCAACCUGCCCCUUACUUGGGGAUACCCCGUCGAAAGACGGCCUAAUACCCGAUGUGUUUCAUUGACGGCAUCCGAUAUGAAACAAAGGUUUUCCGGUAAGGGAUGGGGAUGCGUCUGAUUAGCUUGUUGGCGGGGCAACGGCCCACCAAGGCGACGAUCAGUAGGGGUUCUGAGAGGAAGGUCCCCCACAUUGGAACUGAGACACGGUCCAAACUCCUACGGGAGGCAGCAGUGAGGAAUAUUGGUCAAUGGACGCAAGUCUGAACCAGCCAAGUAGCGUGCAGGAUGACGGCCCUAUGGGUUGUAAACUGCUUUUAUGUGGGAAUAAAGUGGCGCACGUGUGCGCCAUUGCAUGUACCUCAUGAAUAAGGACCGGCUAAUUCCGUGCCAGCAGCCGCGGUAAUACGGAAGGUCCGGGCGUUAUCCGGAUUUAUUGGGUUUAAAGGGAGUGUAGGCGGUCUGUUAAGCGUGUUGUGAAAUUUAGGUGCUCAACAUUUAACUUGCAGCGCGAACUGUCAGACUUGAGUACACGCAGCGCAGGCGGAAUUCAUGGUGUAGCGGUGAAAUGCUUAGAUAUCAUGAGGAACUCCGAUCGCGAAGGCGGCCUGCGGGAGUGUUACUGACGCUUAAGCUCGAAGGUGCGGGUAUCGAACAGGAUUAGAUACCCUGGUAGUCCGCACUGUAAACGAUGGAUGCCCGCCGUUGGCGCCCUGCGCCUGCGGCCAAGCGAAAGCAUUAAGCAUCCCACCUGGGGAGUACGCCGGCAACGGUGAAACUCAAAGGAAUUGACGGGGGCCCGCACAAGCGG